rnacentral:precursor_RNA from 12 species
ACCUCUCAGCAAUCAACAGUGAUGGUAACAAUGAUGAUGAUGGUGGUGAAGAUGGGUUGCAUUUUCCUUCAUCAUAGUCAUCAUUGACCUUAUCAUCAUCUUCAUCAUCGUGGUCAUCA